CUUAAUUUAAUAGGUUUCUCCGUUGUCAGUUGAUGUUUUUCUUGAUAAACACAACUGGAUAUUUUUGCUAUUUGACAAGUGGUCUAAACAUUCCUGCCUGAGCCUAAACAGAUGGAUUUACAUGAAUGGUUGAAAAUGAAGAGAUAGAGGUGUGUUAUUUGUACCCUUGCCAAUAUCUGCCAAUCUGGGUCUGCAGACAAGCAGAUAGGCAAUGCAUUCCAAUAAAUGUCAAUAAAGUGCAAGCAUGAUUCUCUCAGUUACGAAAUCUGCAAGGGAGCCCUGGAAGGAUAUAACUAUGCGGAACCGAAUCACCUACGCCCUACUCUUCUUCGGUUUUCUAAAAGAGUUCUUCCGCUUCAUCAGACACUAACGACAUCUAUUCUGCUGCCGCUGUGAAAGAACUCUUUCGCUCUCAUGCGCUGCAAGGUACUCUGUGAAUCCUCUAAUGUGAACAUCCUGGCUUCCAAGUUCAAGAAUCCUCACCAUUGCACAUCACAGCUGUGGUGUGUUGCACAUCCAAACAGCUGUCAUUCUGCUUAAUCGUGUUAUAUAUCGUGCUUAUUCGUGUUGUAUUGCUUAAUUGAUGUUCAUUUGGUUCACCAAAUACACGACGAAUUGCUUUUCGA